rnacentral:rRNA from 1 species
GAUAGAUAGGCAUGCGUUCCAUUAGGCAGUUGGCGGGGUAACGGCCCACCAAACCGACGAUGGAUAGGGGUUCUGAGAGGAAGGUCCCCCACAUUGGUACUGAGACACGGACCAAACUCCUACGGGAGGCAGCAGUGAGGAAUAUUGGUCAAUGGGCGUAAGCCUGAACCAGCCAAGUCGCGUGAGGGAUGAAGGUUCUAUGGAUCGUAAACCUCUUUUAUAAGGGAAUAAAGUGCGGGACGUGUCCCGUUUUGUAUGUACCUUAUGAAUAAGGAUCGGCUAACUCCGUGCCAGCAGCCGCGGUAAUACGGAGGAUCCGAGCGUUAUCCGGAUUUAUUGGGUUUAAAGGGUGCGUAGGCGGCCUUUUAGGUCAGCGGUGAAGGUCUGUGGCUCAACCAUAGAAUUGCCGUUGAAACUGGGAGGCUUGAGUAUGUUUGAGGCAGGCGGAAUGCGUGGUGUAGCGGUGAAAUGCUUAGAUAUCACGCAGAACCCCGAUUGCGAAGGCAGCCUGCCAAGCCAUGACUGACGCUGAUGCACGAAAGCGUGGGGAUCAAACAGGAUUAGAUACCCUGGUAGUCCACGCAGUAAACGAUGAUCACUAGCUGUUUGCGAUACACAGUAA